rnacentral:rRNA from 1 species
GAUGAACGCUGGCGGCGCGCCUAAUACAUGCAAGUCGAGCGAAUGGAUUAAGAGCUUGCUCUUAUGAAGUUAGCGGCGGGCGGGUGAGUAACACGUGGGUAACCUGCCCAUAAGACUGGGAUAACUCCGGGAAACCGGGGCUAAUACCGGAUAACAUUUUGAACCGCAUGGUUCGAAAUUGAAAGGCGGCUUCGGCUGUCACUUAUGGAUGGACCCGCGUCGCACUAGCUAGUUGGUGAGGUAACGGCUCACCAAGGCAACGAGGCGUGGCCGACCUGAGAGGGUGAUCGGCCACAAUGGGACUGGGACACGGCCCAGACUCCUACGGGAGGCAGCAGUAGGGAAUCUUCCGCAAUGGACGAAAGUCUGACGGAGCAACGCCGCGUGAGUGAUGAAGGCUUUCGGGUCGUAAAACUCUGUUGUUAGGGAAGAACAAGUGCUAGUUGAGUAAGCUGGCACCUUGACGGUACCUAACCAGAAAGCCACGGCUAACUACGUGCCAGCAGCCGCGGUAA